AUUGAACGCUGGCGGCAGGCUUAACACAUGCAAGUCGAGCGGUAACAUUUCUAGCUUGCUAGAAGAUGACGAGCGGCGGACGGGUGAGUAAUACUUAGGAAUCUACCUAGUAGUGGGGGAUAGCACGGGGAAACUCGUAUUAAUACCGCAUACGACCUACGGGAGAAAGGGGGCAGUUUACUGCUCUCGCUAUUAGAUGAGCCUAAGUCGGAUUAGCUAGAUGGUGGGGUAAAGGCCUACCAUGGCGACAAUCUGUAGCUGGUCUGAGAGGAUGAUCAGCCACACCGGGACUGAGACACGGCCCGGACUCCUACGGGAGGCAGCAGUGGGGAAUAUUGGACAAUGGGGGCAACCCUGAUCCAGCCAUGCCGCGUGUGUGAAGAAGGCCUUUUGGUUGUAAAGCACUUUAAGCAGUGAAGAAAACUCUGUGGUUAAUACCCACAGACGAUGACAUUAGCUGCAGAAUAAGCACCGGCUAACUCUGUG
rnacentral:rRNA from 1 species